rnacentral:misc_RNA from 1 species
UACAACAGAAUAACUGCUCCUAACAACCUACCCAACUUUAUUUCCCUCAUUUUUAUAUUUAUUCCUUCAGACUUGCCAACUUGACUCAUCUAUUGGUUCUGCUUUCUAUGAAUAAAUUAUUCUAGCAGUCACUUAACUUUUGAGGAUUAUUUCAUUUCAAUCACACAAUUUUAAUUUGUUAAAAAUAAUAUUACUCAACUUUAUUUUAUAUUCAAAAAAGUCACUUUGACCUGUUAUAGUAAGUUUCCUAAUUGCCAAAAUGAAAUUACCAUUUUACCCCCUCUCUUCCUUUUCUUUCUCCAUUUAUCUGAUUUAUCUUUCUGUUUGAAUCAAUAUAAAAAUUAAUAAAAAGUUAAAACUAACCACCAAAAUACUAGCUACUUUUAAAAAAUAACAAUUUUGCUGAAUAAGAUUAUGAAAAUUUUUAAAUAUUAAAUUAAAAAUCAUUGAUUAAUUUGAUUAAAAACUUUGACGUUUAAUAUUUAAUUGUGUUUAUUUGUUGGUUGCUGCUUCUGCCCCAAUGAAGCCUUCAUAUGGGCCCG